GGUCUCUUAUGAACUCCAUGCCACCACUGGGAGGAAAGGAGAGGGAAUAACUGUAGAAAAAACAAGUCCUGCUGGUUUUAUUGGUAUCUUGAAUCAUGGAAUCAUAGAAUGGCUCAGGUUGGAAGGGACCUUAAAGACCACCAAGUUCCAUCCCCUCCCACCAUGGCUGCAAUGCCACCAUGUUGCCCAGGGCCUCACCCAGCCUGGCCUUGGACACUUCCAGGGAUGGAGCAUCCACAACUUUUUUGUUCUUUUUUUUUUUUUUUUUUCCAUUUCCUGCUGACUAUGGUCAUGAGUCUUCGGACUUGAAGACAGAAUGUACUGACUUAUGCAGUAGAUAGCUGGAAACAGAUGCAUCUGUAGCAAUGUGAGACUGGUGACCGUGUAAAUACAGCAUGGACAUAUACCAAAAGAAGAAAAGCAUCCAACCUAUUUCAAAUGCUUGAAAUAACAUGGGAAAGGUCUUUGUGCACAUUUUGCAUGGAGAGCUGGGAGGCAUGGAUAUUCAUCACAGCCGUCAUGGAAUUCUGGCUCGGAGGAAAAAGAAUAAAGAUUUUCCCUUUAAAGUUGCAACAUUGCCAGAACAUCCACAGAACUCUAGCUGCCUUGGGACUGCAUACUGUAUAAACAGAAUGUAAAUGAAGAUCUCAGAUAUGGAUGUUUGCCAUAAGUGGCAAGUUAAAAUUACCUAGAAUCUGCUGUGCAGGACUCACCACCUUCCUUUCAGACAAGAAAUCUUCUUGCCACUAGAAAAACAGGAUUUUCUGAAGGGAAGUCUGGGUCACAUGCACAUGUGUGGCCCAGGAAGAGGAGGAGAGGACGGGGAGUGUGAAAGGUCCCUUAUGAGCAGGACAAGAGAGGAGAGCUCAUGUGCCAGACACAGACAAGAAGCUGAGGCAGGGUGGUAGUGCAGGGGGAUGCUACCUGUAGUGUCUGCUACUUCCCCAAACCUGACACUGCUCUUCUCAUUGCAUUACUUCUCACUGCGUUACUUCUCACUGCAACUGUCAACAAGUGUCCUUCUAAUUUGUUUAAAUGUUUAUUGUGUAUUUGCUAGAAGUAUUACAUAGUAUUACAUACCUAUAUAUAUUUAGAGAUUACUGUUGUGAUGAUGCCAAGAAAAUUUUACAAACAAUUCCCAUUA